rnacentral:rRNA from 1 species
UGGGAAUAUUGCACAAUGGGCGCAAGCCUGAUGCAGCCAUGCCGCGUGUUUGAAGAAGGCCUUCGGGUUGUAAAGCACUUUCAGCGGGGAGGAAGGCGUUAAGGUUAAUAACCUUGGCGAUUGACGUUACCCGCAGAAGAAGCACCGGCUCACUCCGUGCCAGCAGCCGCGGUAAUACGGAGGGUGCAAGCGUUAAUCGGAAUUACUGGGCGUAAAGCGCACGCAGGCGGUCUGUCAAGUCGGAUGUGAAAUCCCCGGGCUCAACCUGGGAACUGCAUUCGAAACUGGCAGGCUAGAGUCUUGUAGAGGGGGGUAGAAUUCCAGGUGUAGCGGUGAAAUGCGUAGAGAUCUGGAGGAAUACCGGUGGCGAAGGCGGCCCCCUGGACAAAGACUGACGCUCAGGUGCGAAAGCGUGGGGAGCAAACAGG